rnacentral:rRNA from 1 species
UUGAUGGCGACCGGCGCACGGGUGAGUAACGCGUAUCCAACCCGCCCUUUACUAUGGGACAGCCCGUCGAAAGGCGGAUUAAUACCGUAUGUUGUCAUGUUGAUGCAUAUUUUCAUGACCAAAGGCUUCGGCCGGUAAAGGAUGGGGAUGCGUCUGAUUAGCUUGCCGGCGGGGUAACGGCCCACCGGGGCGACGAUCAGUAGGGGUUCUGAGAGGAAGGUCCCCCACAUUGGAACUGAGACACGGUCCAAACUCCUACGGGAGGCAGCAG